ACAAUCCAGGCCUUCUUCUCAAAAAGGAGCCUCAGGCAAGCUGCCUGGGACUCCCUGUUUAGUCAGCCGCAAGACUCUAACUUGGCAUUUAGCAAUCACUGUGUGCCUGGCUGGGGUGGGGCCUGCACUGAGUCUCUUCUCAGGCUUGUCACCUCAUUACGACUUCCUGUGGGGCAUCCUCACUAUGGGCAUCUCACUGGGCUUCCAGAAGGAAUUCAGUAUCAGAAACCCAGAGACAGUCUUGGAACUCAAAGAAAUGAAGGGGACGGCUGAAAACCUCAAUACUUACAUUUUUAAACAUGAUGUAUCUUGUGAUGGAUAAUACUGUUCAGAUCAGAUUCCAAUUAAAAUUGAGUCACUAAUUUCA
rnacentral:lncRNA from 1 species